rnacentral:rRNA from 1 species
ACAUUAGCAUGGGAUAAUGGAAUAGGACCCUGUCCUCCUAUUUUCAGUUGGUUUUGGCAGCGCGAGGACUAGGGUAAUGAUUAAUAGGGAUAGUUGGGGGCAUUAAUAUUUAAUUGUCAGAGGUGAAAUUCUUGGAUUUAUGAAAGAUUAACUUCUGCGAAAGCAUCUGCCAAGGAUGUUUUCAUUAAUCAAGAACGAAAGUUAGGGGAUCGAAGACGAUCAGAUACCGUCGUAGUCUUAACCAUAAACGAUGCCGACCAGCGAUUAGGAGACGUUGAAUACAAAACACCACCAUCGGCGCGGUCGUCCUUGGCGUCUCGGUUUCGGCCGGGGCGCGGGGAUGGCUUAGCCCGG